AACCAGAAAAAUAUUGGGUGUCAUCUCCCAAUAUUGAAUAUACAUUCAUCCCAGAGUUUCUAAGUAAUUACAAGAAACUCCAGGUUAAUUUCAACAAU